UACAGAGGUCCCAAGCGUUUGUUCGGAUUCAUUGGGCGUAAAGGGUGUGUAGGUGGCGCCGUAAGUCGGGUGUGAAAUUUCGGAGCUUAACUCCGAAACUGCAUUCGAUACUGCGGUGCUUGAGGACUGGAGAGGAGACUGGAAUUCAUGGUGUAGCAGUGAAAUGCGUAGAGAUCAUGAGGAAGACCAGUGGCGAAGGCGGGUCUCUGGACAGUUCCUGACACUGAGACACGAAGGCCAGGGGAGCAAACGGGG
rnacentral:rRNA from 1 species